rnacentral:rRNA from 1 species
AGUGAACGCUGGCGGCAGGCCUAACACAUGCAAGUCGAACGGCAGCACAGUAAGAGCUUGCCCUUACGGGUGGCGAGUGGCGGACGGGUGAGGAAUACAUAGGCAUCUACUUUUUCGUGGGGGAUAACGUAGGGACACUUACGCUACUACCGCAUACGACCAACGGGUGAAAGCAGGGGAUAUUCGGACCUUUCGCGAUUGUAUGAGCCGAUGUCGGAUUAGCUAGUUGGCGAGGUAAAGGCCCACCAAGGCGACGAUCCGUAGCUGGUCUGAGAGGAUGAUCGGCCACACUGGAACUGAGACACGGUCCAGACUCCUACGGGAGGCAGCAGUAGGGAAUAUUGGACAAUGGGCGCAAGCCUGAUCCAGCCAUACCGCGUGGGUGAAGAAGGCCUUCGGGUUGUAAAGCCCUUUUGUUGGGAAAGAAAAGCUGUAGGUGAAUACCCCGCUGUUCUGACGGUACCCAAUGAAUAAGCACCGGCUAACUUCGUG